rnacentral:rRNA from 1 species
GGGCUUGACAUCCCACGAACCUGCCAGAAACGGCGGGGUGCCGCAAGGAGCAGUGAGACAGGUGGUGCAUGGUUGUCGUCAGCUCGCGUCGUGAGAUGUUGGGUUAAGUCCCGCAACGAGCGCAACCCUUGUCUUCUGCUGCCAUCAGGUCAAGCUGGGCACUCUGAAGAGACUGCCGGUGAUAAACCGGAGGAAGGUGGGGAUGACGUCAAGUCAGCAUGGCCUUUAUGUCCGGGGCUACACACGUGCUACAAUGGCCGGUACAAACCGUCGCGAGCCCGCGAGGGGGAGCUAAUCGGAAAAAGCCGGUCUCAGUUCGGAUCGUAGGCUGCAACUCGCCUGCGUGAAGUUGGAAUCGCUAGUAAUCGCAGAUCAGCAGGCUGCGGUGAAUACGUUCCCGGGCCUUGUACACACCGCCCGUCACAUCACGAAAGCUGGCUGUACUCGAAGUCGCUGAG